rnacentral:rRNA from 1 species
CGCUGGCGGCGUGCCUAAUACAUGCAAGUCGAACGCACUCUCGUUUAGAUUGAAGGAGCUUGCUCCUGAUUGAUAAACAUUUGAGUGAGUGGCGGACGGGUGAGUAACACGUGGGUAACCUGCCCUAAAGUGGGGGAUAACAUUUGGAAACAGAUGCUAAUACCGCAUAAAACCUAACACCGCAUGGUGUAGGGUUGAAAGAUGGUUUCGGCUAUCACUUUAGGAUGGACCCCGCGGUGCAUUAGUUAGUUGGUGAGGUAAAAGGCUCACCAAGACCGUGAUGCAUAGCCGACCUGAGAGGGUAAUCGGCCACACUGGGACUGAGACACGGCCCAGACUCCUACGGGAGGCAGCAGUAGGGAAUCUUCCACAAUGGACGAAAGACUGAUGGAGCAACGCCGCGUGAGUGGAGAAGGUUUUCGGAUCGUAAAACUCUGUUGUUGGAGAAGAAUGUAUCUGAUAGUAACUGAUCAGGUAGUGACGGUAUCCAACCAGAAAGCCACGGCUAACUACGUG